rnacentral:rRNA from 3 species
UUAAAUUGAAGAGUUUGAUCAUGGCUCAGAUUGAACGCUGGCGGCAGGCCUAACACAUGCAAGUCGAACGGUAACAGGAAGCAGCUUGCUGCUUUGCUGACGAGUGGCGGACGGGUGAGUAAUGUCUGGGAAACUGCCUGAUGGAGGGGGAUAACUACUGGAAACGGUGGCUAAUACCGCAUAACGUCGCAAGACCAAAGAGGGGGACCUUCGGGCCUCUUGCCAUCAGAUGUGCCCAGAUGGGAUUAGCUUGUUGGUGAGGUAACGGCUCACCAAGGCGACGAUCCCUAGCUGGUCUGAGAGGAUGACCAGCCACACUGGAACUGAGACACGGUCCAGACUCCUACGGGAGGCAGCAGUGGGGAAUAUUGCACAAUGGGCGCAAGCCUGAUGCAGCCAUGCCGCGUGUAUGAAGAAGGCCUUCGGGUUGUAAAGUACUUUCAGCGGGGAGGAAGGUGUUGCGGUUAAUAACCGCAGCAAUUGACGUUACCCGCAGAAGAAGCACCGGCUAACUCCGUGCCAGCAGCCGCGGUAAUACGGAGGGUGCAAGCGUUAAUCGGAAUUACUGGGCGUAAAGCGCACGCAGGCGGUCUGUCAAGUCGGAUGUGAAAUCCCCGGGCUCAACCUGGGAACUGCAUUCGAAACUGGCAGGCUUGAGUCUUGUAGAGGGGGGUAGAAUUCCAGGUGUAGCGGUGAAAUGCGUAGAGAUCUGGAGGAAUACCGGUGGCGAAGGCGGCCCCCUGGACAAAGACUGACGCUCAGGUGCGAAAGCGUGGGGAGCAAACAGGAUUAGAUACCCUGGUAGUCCACGCCGUAAACGAUGUCUACUUGGAGGUUGUGCCCUUGAGGCGUGGCUUCCGGAGCUAACGCGUUAAGUAGACCGCCUGGGGAGUACGGCCGCAAGGUUAAAACUCAAAUGAAUUGACGGGGGCCCGCACAAGCGGUGGAGCAUGUGGUUUAAUUCGAUGCAACGCGAAGAACCUUACCUGGUCUUGACAUCCACGGAAGUUUUCAGAGAUGAGAAUGUGCCUUCGGGAACCGUGAGACAGGUGCUGCAUGGCUGUCGUCAGCUCGUGUUGUGAAAUGUUGGGUUAAGUCCCGCAACGAGCGCAACCCUUAUCCUUUGUUGCCAGCGAUUAGGUCGGGAACUCAAAGGAGACUGCCAGUGAUAAACUGGAGGAAGGUGGGGAUGACGUCAAGUCAUCAUGGCCCUUACGACCAGGGCUACACACGUGCUACAAUGGCGCAUACAAAGAGAAGCGACCUCGCGAGAGCAAGCGGACCUCAUAAAGUGCGUCGUAGUCCGGAUUGGAGUCUGCAACUCGACUCCAUGAAGUCGGAAUCGCUAGUAAUCGUGGAUCAGAAUGCCACGGUGAAUACGUUCCCGGGCCUUGUACACACCGCCCGUCACACCAUGGGAGUGGGUUGCAAAAGAAGUAGGUAGCUUAACCUUCGGGAGGGCGCUUACCACUUUGUGAUUCAUGACUGGGGUGAAGUCGUAACAAGGUAACCGUAGGGGAACCUGCGGUUGGAUCACCUCCUUACCUGAAAGAA